rnacentral:rRNA from 1 species
CCUACGGGAGGCUGCAGUGAGGAAUAUUGGUCAAUGGACGAGAGUCUGAACCAGCCAAGUAGCGUGAAGGAUGACUGCCCUAUGGGUUGUAAACUUCUUUUAUAUGGGAAUAAAAUGUUCCACGUGUGGGAUUUUGUAUGUACCAUAUGAAUAAGGAUCGGCUAACUUCGUGCCAGCAGCCGCGGUAAUACGGAGGAUCCGAGCGUUAUCCGGGUUUAUUGGGUUGAAAGGGAGCGUAAGUCGAUUGUUAAGUCAGUUGUGAAAGUUUGCGGUUCAAACGUAAGAGUGCAGUUGAAACUGGCAGUCUUGAGUACAGGAGAGGUGGGCGGAAUUCGUGGUGUAGCGGUGAAAUGCUUAGAUAUCACGAAGAACUCCGAUUGCGAAGGCAGUUCACUGGACUGCAACUGACACUGAGGCUCGAAAGUGUGGGUAUCAAACAGGAUUAGAUACCCUAGUAGUC